UACGUAGGGUGCGAGCGUUGUCCGGAAUUAUUGGGCGUAAAGAGCGUGUAGGCGGUUCGGUAAGUCUGUCGUGGAAUCCUGAGGCUCAACCUUGGACGUGCGAUGGAUACUGCCGGGCUAGAGGAUGGUAGAGGCGAGUGGAAUUCCCGGUGUAGCGGUGAAAUGCGCAGAUAUCGGGAGGAACACCAGUAGCGAAGGCGGCUCGCUGGGCCAUUCCUGACGCUGAGACGCGAAAGCUAGGGGAGCGGACAGG
rnacentral:rRNA from 1 species